rnacentral:rRNA from 1 species
CCUACGGGAGGCAGCAGUGAGGAAUAUUGGUCAAUGGACGCAAGUCUGAACCAGCCAUGCCGCGUGCAGGAAGACGGCUCUAUGAGUUGUAAACUGCUUUUGUACGAGGGUAAACGCAGAUACGUGUAUCUGUCUGAAAGUAUCGUACGAAUAAGGAUCGGCUAACUCCGUGCCAGCAGCCGCGGUAAUACGGAGGAUUCAAGCGUUAUCCGGAUUUAUUGGGUUUAAAGGGUGCGUAGGCGGUCGGAUAAGUUAGAGGUGAAAUCCCGAGGCUCAACUUCGGAAUUGCCUGUGAUACUGUUCGGCUAGAGAGUAGUUGAGGUAGGCGGAAUGUAUGGUGUAGCGGUGAAAUGCUUAGAGAUCAUACAGAACACCGAUUGCGAAGGCAGCUUACUAAGCUACUUCUGACGUUGAGGCACGAAAGCGUGGGGAGCAAACAGGAUUAGAUACCCCAGUAGUC